AUUGGGUUCGGAGGGGGAGAUUGUUAGUCAAAAAGGUGUCCUCACCCACUCCCACUCAUUAUCAAUUCCACCCACUCCCACUCAUUAUGUUUCCUCACCCACCCACUCCACCUUCUACUUUCCUACCUACCUCAUAAUUUAGCCAACCUCUCUCCUCCUCAUUUGGCUAUAAAAGGAAGCUAAGGAAGAAGGAUGAUACACACC
rnacentral:lncRNA from 1 species